GAAGCGGCAACAGCUCAAAUUUGAAAUCUGGCCUCUUGGGGUCCGAGUUGUAAUUUGGAGAGGAUGUUUCGGGUACGGUCCGGGCUUAAAUUUCUUGGAACAGAAUGUCACAGAGGGUGAGAAUCCCGUCUGGAGUCUGCGACACGGCCUAUGUGAAACUCCUUCGACGAGUCGAGUUGUUUGGGAAUGCAGCUCUAAAUGGGUGGUAAAUUUCAUCUAAAGCUAAAUAUUGGCCAGAGACCGAUAGCGCACAAGUAGAGUGAUCGAAAGAUGAAAAGCACUUUGAAAAGAGAGUUAAACAGUACGUGAAAUUGUUGAAAGGGAAGCGCUGGCAACCAGACUUGCGCGUCGGGGUUUCCCCCCUUGCUUCUGCUUGGGCUACUCCCCGGCGUUCAGGCCAACAUCGGUUUUGGGGGUCGGUUAAAGGCCCCGGGAAUGUACCUACCCUUCGGGGUAGACUUAUAGCCCGGGGUGUCAUGCGGCCACCCGGGACCGAAGGAACGCGCUUCGGCUCGGAUGUUGGCGUAAUGGUUGUCAGCGACCCGUCUUGAAACACGGACCAAGGAGUCUAACAUCUAUGCGAGUGUUAGGGUGUCAAACCCUUACGCGGAAUGAAAGUGAACGGAGGUAGGAAGCCGUAACACGCUGCACUAUCGACCGAUCCUGAAGUUUACGGAUGGAUUUGAGUAAGAGCAUAGCUGUUGGGACCCGAAAGAUGGUGAAC
rnacentral:rRNA from 1 species